CGUAGCUCAGUCGGAUAGAGCAACUGCCUCCUAAGCAGUAGGCUGGAGGUUCGAUUCCUCUC
rnacentral:tRNA from 1 species